rnacentral:rRNA from 1 species
UAAAGAAUUUCGGUUAUCGAUGGGGAUGCGUUCCAUUAGUUAGUUGGCGGGGUAACGGCCCACCAAGACGACGAUGGAUAGGGGUUCUGAGAGGAAGGUCCCCCACAUUGGAACUGAGACACGGUCCAAACUCCUACGGGAGGCAGCAGUGAGGAAUAUUGGUCAAUGGACGAGAGUCUGAACCAGCCAAGUAGCGCGAAGGAUGACUGCCCUAUGGGUUGUAAACUUCUUUUAUAUGGGAAUAAAACAGGGUAUGCAUACCCUCUUGUAUGUACCAUAUGAAUAAGGAUCGGCUAACUCCGUGCCAGCAGCCGCGGUAAUACGGAGGAUCCGAGCGUUAUCCGGAUUUAUUGGGUUUAAAGGGAGCGUAGGUGGAUUGUUAAGUCAGUUGUGAAAGUUUGCGGCUCAACCGUAAAAUUGCAGUUGAAACUGGCAGUCUUGAGUACAGUAGAGGUGGGCGGAAUUCGUGGUGUAGCGGUGAAAUGCUUAGAUAUCACGAAGAACUCCGAUUGCGAAGGCAGCUCACUGGACUGCAACUGACACUGAUGCUCGAAAGUGUGGGUAUCAAACAGGAUUAGAUACCCUGGUAGUCCACACAGUAAACGAUGAAUACUCGCUGUUUGCGAUA